UACGUAGGGCGCAAGCGUUGUCCGGAAUUAUUGGGCGUAAAGGGCGCGUAGGCGGAUGGCACAGUCAGAUGUGAAAUUCCCGGGCUUAACCUGGGAAUUGCAUUUGAGACUGCGUAGCUAGGGUGCGGAAGAGGGAAGCGGAAUUUCCGGUGUAGCGGUGAAAUGCGUAGAUAUCGGAAGGAACACCAGUGGCGAAAGCGGCUUCCUGGUCCAGCACCGACGUUCAGGCACGAAAGCGUGGGGAGCAAACAGGAUUAGA
rnacentral:rRNA from 1 species